UCAACCUAGACAUGGUGUGUCCCACAAGUGCACAUUAUUGAUUCUUUUCCUGUGAAAGUUCAUGCACUGAUUUCAUCAAGGACCACUCUUCAAUAUGAAUGUGUGCUUUCUAUCAUUAUGACCAUUAACUUUCAGCCUUUCAGUUAAAACUGCAUCCCAAUCUCUUCAUUAGAGACGAAGACAUAGCUUGAAAGUGAGACGAGAAGAAAACAGUAGAACAUGAACAUGCAAGCGGAACCAUAAGAGUGUUAAAAGGCAUACUUUUCUUUAAGAUACUACACCACCUUCCAAAUAACAUGGAGACUUCAGGGGCCGUUAGCUUCUUACAGGUAUGCAAUCUUACUUUCUGACACUAAUUGCUAUUUAUCGAGGAAACAGCAAAUUAGUAUUGAUGACAAUUGUGAAUUGAAAUAGAUCGGGCAAAUUCGUGGGGUGAGUUUAAAACAAUGCUUAAAUGCCGAAUGCAAAGAAAGAUCAAUCAGUUGCAAAACCCAUGUAAUUACAGACCCAUAUUACAGACUGAAACCUAAAACCUAUGUAAUUACAGACCCAUAUUAGUAUUCAACCAAGAAAACAUAUACACAGGCAAAACCCAAACCAAUCCCACUAAAUAAUUACAAUUCUAAAGUUGUAAGUGGCAGUCCAAAUGUAAACCCAGAAGAAAACACCUAAGAAUGUUUAGCACUACCCUUUAGCUAUCUCCCUACUGGCCUACUCUUCUUUUGCCUAAUGGAUAAACAGAUUCCAACAACACACAGAUACCACCCUACAGCUAAUCCUUGUUGACACAAUCGGUGUUACAGUCAACUGUAAUUUAAUACUACAGGAAACCUAAAGAGAACAAUGUUCAUGAAUCACCACCAGCCUCAGCGAAUGGAUGAUUAUGUUGUCGUACAAACUGCCCCUUCACCCGAGGCCGCUGCUCUGCCAGUCUUUUCCGGCUUUGAUAUCGAACCUAUACAAGAAAUUAGAGUACUUGUUAAUAAGAUCUUUAGUGAAACAUGCUAUAGGAGUUUCCAAGCCAACUGCAAUCAUAGAUAUAAAUUCACCAUAAAUAAUCUUAAAGUAGCCUUUUACUAAGUGCUGUUUAUGAUACCUUUUUCUCGAAGCAUCUCUCUUUCCGCUUCAGUCGAAACUUCACUAGUGCUGCUUCUCUUUGACUGGAGCGAUGAGAAUCUGUCACUCUAAAUCCAUCAUAAUUAUGACAACCACUAUCACUGAAACCAUCUGAGGUGUUCUUGGAUACUAUAGCUGAAGUAGCAUGUCCAUCAUUUCCACUGUCCAUGCUUCCAUAUGCACUACUAUUAACAUGAUUUGCAGCAUCAUGGCAUAAAUUAUUACCAGCACUCUGAUCAGCAGCAGGAGACUCAUGCCUUGCGUGAUCUGAAUCAGUAUUAUCCUUUACAUUUUGAUCAAGACAAGUAGCAUCAUUGGAACAGUCAUGAGGUUGAUCUGAGCAGUGACUUUCAGGAUUGGACUGGGAGGAGGUACUUGUGGGAAAGGGAGAACUCUCAUUCUGGCAGACUGGUUUUGGACUCAACAUGGGGUGAAUGCCAGAUUGUGCAUAGAAAACAGAAGUAAAAACAUGACCAUGUCCCUCAGACUUAAGCUUGGAGAUAACUCCUGAAACAGGUAAGAGUCCAUACUGACCAAUGACUGUACUGAUCAUAUUCUCCAGGUUCUGAUUUGAGUCGUCAUACUGACAAUUUCCAGAUAAUUUAAGGCAUUCAUGAGAAUCCCAAUUGAGCCAGUUUACUUUAGGAGAUGUAAUCGAUGGUGGUGAAAAAAGAGGCUGCAACAAUUUACUAUUACUGUACCUGCAUAUAGAAAUUAUUACCCAUCGUCAGAAAAUCUGUGUAAUCACAAUGAUGUUGAGUUUUUGAAUGGGUCAAUAGGAAAAAAAAAUACUUUAGAAUGAAAUACUGGAUAGUGAUUUCUCAUCAUCCAAGGAUGAAAGCUUAAACAUGGCCUUUAUUUUUGGGUGGUAGGGAGAGGGGGAACCAUAAGAGUGCAGAAAUUUAAUGUUUAAAUAAAAAAAGGGCCAAACCAGUGUAUAGUUUUACAUAGAGAUGAUUUGAUCCAUAAACUUAAAGGAAACAGUCCCAAAUGGUUAUUAACAAAGUCUCUUUGAAGAAUUCUUCUUAUUGUUGAUAACUGUGCACAAAAACACCCAUGUAUCUGUGGUCUUCAAUAUUUUAGAUUUUAGAAGCAUAACUAUAUUUACCAUUAUUAGGAUUAUUGGAUCCUUCCAUAGAUUAUAGGCUCUGAAAAAUAUGUUUCAGUACAAAUCACCAUUUAUUCAGCUUUCAUCAAUACUAAUCCUACAUAUAGAACAACAUAAACAAGACUGACGAAAGACAUGAAAAGCACAUGUUAAAAUUCAAAUAACAAAAUUCCAUGAAGAACUUCCUUCUGCUGACUAAAAUUUGUUUCUUUGAUGGUCAGAGGAAAUAUUGUAUGGCAUCUGGUUUUGGUAGAUAUCAUUUUAAGAACUAAAGAAGUCAAGAAAGCACUGAACUCACCAAGAAAAGGCAGAAGUAUUUGAAUGGUUCAAUCUUUGAGAUUCCUCAGUUGAUUCACUUGCUUGUUUACCUGAGCUGCCAGGAAAAUCACUUCUUAAGGAAAGUUCCAAUUGCGUUUCACAAUCAAACUUGGUUGUAUUACCACCAUUGAGACUACAGUUUUCAUUAGGGUGCUUUGGAAGAUUUCCAAAUGUGGCAAUCAAGUCAAUAGCUCCUUUAGAAGGUUUCACCUGCUCAGCAUUGCAUCCAUGCAAUAUAGAAACAUGAGAAUUGUCUCUGCCUAACUCAGAUUUUAAGAUUUCAUCCUCGUUUUCAGUUUCAGGUUCAGCAACACCACAGUCUUGUUCUAGCAUUAAAUCUGUCAAUUCAAAACUUUUGUCACACCUUGCAGCCUCUGAUACAAUUGUAAUUGAUUUAUCUGCAUUAAAUGUUUUUAAUAGACGACAAAACAGUCAGCACAUUGAAACAAGAUAAAAACAAAUUCUAAUCAAAGUGUAAAACAAAAUUCGCCUACCCUCUGUUUCAUCAUUAUGCUUAGCUGAUUUCCUUUCAAAUUUGGCAAACUUUUCAUGGUCCACCAUAUCAAUUUUGUUCAGUUUAGAACUUUCCAGCUGGGGCACAUCCUGCAUAUUUUCCACAAAUGUACUCUCGGCUUCAAAAAUUGGGGAUGCACAAGUGCUCUGCACAUGAGUUUGCAUAACUUGGCAAUGUACAUCCUGGGACACAUCCUGCAUAUUUUCCAUGUAUGUACUCGCAGCUUCCAUAAUUGGUGAUGUACAAGUGCUCUGCACAAGAGUUUGCAAACUUGUGGUUUCUAUGUGAAAUUUCAUGAAACAAAACUAAUCUAGAAAGAAUAUUUUUCCAAAAGCUAAGUGGCUUUGAAAAUGCAUUGUGCAAUAGAUUUCAGGUUGCAUGUCUUUAUAUGCUACUCAAGCCAAGAAGUGAGUGAAAACUGUCGAUAGAAUUUCAGAAAUA
rnacentral:lncRNA from 1 species